UGGGGAAUAUUGGACAAUGGGCGCAAGCCUGAUCCAGCCAUGCCGCGUGAGGGAUGAAGGCCCUAGGGUUGUAAAGCUCUUUCACCGGUGAAGAUAAUGACGGUAACCGGAGAAGAAGCCCCGGCUAACUUCGUGCCAGCAGCCGCGGUAAUACGAAGGGGGCUAGCGUUGUUCGGAUUUACUGGGCGUAAAGCGCACGUAGGCGGACUAUUAAGUCAGGGGUGAAAUCCCGGGGCUCAACCCCGGAACUGCCUUUGAUACUGGUAGUCUUGAGUUCGAGAGAGGUGAGUGGAAAUCCGAGUGUAGAGGUGAAAUUCGUAGAUAGUCGGAGGAACACCAGUGGCGAAGGGGGCUCACUGGCUCGAUACUGACGCUGAGGUGCGAAAGCGUGGGGAGCAAACAGG
rnacentral:rRNA from 1 species